rnacentral:rRNA from 1 species
GACGAACGCUGGCGGCGUGCUUAACACAUGCAAGUCGAACGGUAAGGCCCUUCGGGAUACUCGAGUGGCGAACGGGUGAGUAACACGUGGGUGAUCUGCCCUGCACUUCGGGAUAAGCCUGGGAAACUGGGUCUAAUACCGGAUAGGACCUGGGAUGCAUGUCCUGGGGUGGAAAGCGUUUGCGGUGUGGGAUGGGCCCGCGGCCUAUCAGCUUGUUGGUGGGGUGAUGGCCUACCAAGGCGACGACGGGUAGCCGGCCUGAGAGGGUGUCCGGCCACACUGGGACUGAGAUACGGCCCAGACUCCUACGGGAGGCAGCAGUGGGGAAUAUUGCACAAUGGGCGCAAGCCUGAUGCAGCGACGCCGCGUGAGGGAUGACGGCCUUCGGGUUGUAAACCUCUUUCAGCACCGACGAAGCGCAAGUGACGGUAGGUGCAGAAGAAGGACCGGCCAACUACGUGCCAGCAGCCGCCGUAA